UACGGGGGGGGCAAGCGUUGUUCGGAAUUACUGGGCGUAAAGGGUUCGUAGGUGGCCGAUUAAGUCAGACGUGAAAUCCCUCAGCUCAACUGGGGAACUGCGUCUGAUACUGGUUGGCUUGAGUGCAGGAGAGGAACGCGGAAUUCCAGGUGUAGCGGUGAAAUGCAUAGAUAUCUGGAGGAACACCGGUGGCGAAGGCGGCGUCCUGGACCAACACUGACACUGAGGAGCGAAAGCCAGGGGAGCAAACGGG
rnacentral:rRNA from 1 species